CCUACGGGAGGCAGCAGUGAGGAAUAUUGGACAAUGGGCGCAAGCCUGAUCCAGCCAUGCCGCGUGCAGGAAGACGGUCCUAUGGAUUGUAAACUGCUUUUAUACAGGAAGAAACACACCCUCGUGAGGGAGCUUGACGGUACUGUAAGAAUAAGGAUCGGCUAACUCCGUGCCAGCAGCCGCGGUAAUACGGAGGAUCCAAGCGUUAUCCGGAAUCAUUGGGUUUAAAGGGUCCGUAGGCGGUUUAAUAAGUCAGUGGUGAAAUCUGGUCGCUCAACGAUCAAACGGCCAUUGAUACUGUUAGACUUGAAUUAUAAGGAAGUAACUAGAAUAUGUAGUGUAGCGGUGAAAUGCUUAGAUAUUACAUGGAAUACCAAUUGCGAAGGCAGGUUACUACUUAUGGAUUGACGCUGAUGGACGAAAGCGUGGGGAGCGAACAGGAUUAGAUACCCUGGUAGUCCACGCCGUAAACGAUGGAUACUAGCUGUUCGGAGCAAUCUGAGUGGCUAAGCGAAAGUGAUAAAGUAUCCACCUGGGGAGUAACGUUCGCAAGAAAUGAAACUUNAAAUUGAAUUGACGG
rnacentral:rRNA from 1 species